rnacentral:rRNA from 1 species
UACGGAGGGUGCGAGCGUUAAUCGGAAUUACUGGGCGUAAAGCGCAUGCAGGCGGCCUGUUAAGUCAGAUGUGAAAGCCCGGGGCUUAACCUCGGAAUUGCAUUUGAAACUGGCAGGCUAGAGUCUUGUAGAGGGGGGUAGAAUUUCAGGUGUAGCGGUGAAAUGCGUAGAGAUCUGAAGGAAUACCAGUGGCGAAGGCGGCCCCCUGGACAAAGACUGACGCUCAGAUGCGAAAGCGUGGGGAGCAAACAGG